AUCGACAAUUGGCUGAUUGGCAACUGAAUGCAGAUGCUUGAAGUUGGCAGCGUUGUUAAAAAUCUCCGAAAAACCCAGCUGUGAAAAAGAUGAAUAAAUGGCGAGGGUGGAUUAAUAAGUUAAUAUAUAUCUGUCUAUAUAGAGAAAACUGCAGAAUCCAGCUGAAAAGAAGAAAGGACCGACCUGACAGAAACUAUAGACAUAGUCCGAGUAGAGACUAUAGUAAAGCUAAGGUGUAAUAGAAAAUAUACUGGAAUACUUGGCAACAUUAAGAUCGUAUUGAGAGUUUGUGCAUAACUCAAGGGAAUAAUUAGAAAUAGAUUUGAAAAUGGAAAUGGCAUUGAAAUAUUACUCGAUUAUAAAUCAAUGAGUAUCGCGAAUUGUCUAAAUUCUAUGAAUCUAUAAUAAAAGAUCCUGAAAAAGCAACGUAUUUCGAUAGAAAGCGAUUCUCAUCGAUUUUCAACUGCGUUAGCUAAUUGUCAACUCCUUAUGAGCUCAGCUUUCAAUGACAAUUACUUCAGUGGCAAAUACUUCUUAAGCAACCCGUGCACAAGCUGUUGUCAAUGCCAAUAGCCAGAGUUUGAGUACUUUACGCA